rnacentral:tRNA from 1 species
UCGGUAGCUCAGUUGGUAGAGCAGAGGACUGAAAAUCCUUGUGUCGCUGGUUCGAUUCCGGCCCGAGC